rnacentral:snRNA from 1 species
UGGCAACUGCAAGAAUAUGUUA